rnacentral:snRNA from 1 species
AUCUUUGCGCAGUGGCGAUAUCGUAACCAAUGAGGUUCUACCGAGGUGCGAUUAUUGCUAGUUGAAAACUUUUACCAAUACCCCGCCAUGACGAUGUGAAAUACCAUCGGCUACGGCAAUUUUUGAAAGUUUCUGCGGAAA